rnacentral:tRNA from 1 species
AAAAUCCGUUGACUUUGAAAAUCGUGAGGGUUCAAGUCCCUCUAUCCCCA